rnacentral:rRNA from 1 species
CCUACGGGAGGCUGCAGUGAGGAAUAUUGGUCAAUGGCCGGAAGGCUGAACCAGCCAUGCCGCGUGAAGGUCAGUGCCCUAUGGGCGUUAAACUUCUUUUUUGCGGGAGCAAUACUGGUCACGUGUGGCCAGACGGGAAUACCGUACGAAUAAGCAUCGGCUAACUCCGUGCCAGGAGCCGCGGUAAUACGGGGGAUGCAAGCGUUAUCCGGAUUUAUUGGGUUUAAAGGGUUCGUAGGCUGGGAGGUAAGUCAGCGGUGAAAGGCCCCCGCUCAACGGGGGGAAGUGCCAUUGAUACUGCCUGGCUGGAAUGCGGAUGCGGUGGGAGGAAUGUGUGGUGUAGCGGUGAAAUGCGUAGAUAUUAGGAGGAACACCAGUGGCGAAGGCGGCUUACUGGACUGUAACUGACGUUGAGGCUCGAAAGCGUGGGGAGCAAACAUGAUUAGAUACCCCUGUAGUC